rnacentral:rRNA from 1 species
GAUUUGGCAAGGCGAAACCUGACCCACCAUGCCGCGUGAGGGAGAAGCUCUCGGGUUGUAAAACUCUUUUUGCCGGGGAAAAAAAGGCAUGGUACUUGUAGACGAAUCAACGGCACCUGGCGAAUAAGCACCGGCUAACUUCAUGCCGGCGAUCGCGGUGUUAUGGAGGGUGCUUGCGUUGUCCGGAUUUAUUGGGGUUUUAUGGUGCGUGCGUGGCUUUAUCGGUCCUCAGUGAAAGGGAGUGGCUGAACCCCUCGCUGUGCCCUGGAUACUGGGAGGGACGAAUGUCCCGGAGGACCGUGGAACUGCUGGUGUAUCGGGAAAAACACUAGAUACCAUCGCGAACUGCUAUAGCGUAAGCGACCCGCUUGAGACGACACUUACACUAACGAACGGAAUUAUGUGCCGCAAUCAUCCUUAGAUACCAUGAUAGUCCCCACUGGUUACGAUUAUCACUCCCUGUUGUGGCAUAUUCAUCACCGUCUUUGCCCCAGCGGUAAAGUCCCCACCUGGGGAGUACACCCGAAAGAAUGAAAGGCAAAAGGGAUGACGGGGG